GUGCUUGAUUCGGCAGCACAUAUACCAAAACUGGAAUGAUACAGAGAUUAGCAUGGCCCCUGUGCAAGGAUGAAGUGCAAAUUCAUGAAAUGUUCCAUUUUUUU